ACCCCCAGAGUGGCGUCCCAGCACCACCCUGGUGAACUGUGUGUGGCUCUAAUAUAGUGGCCGUGUUUAGCCACACCAGUGGGCAGCGUGACCGAUCUAACAGCUGCUGCAAAUCCAUGAAAUAAUGUUUUGGUUGAUUGGCACUAAAGAUACCUAGCUGAGGAGUGUGCAUGGGUUUGACCUUCCCGGCUACUACUAAAACCCGAGUGCUUUCUUGGGGCAGCAGUGACAAGUAGCAGAAACUUCUCCAGGUAGACUGGAGGAGGCAGGUAGCAGACCACCUCCAGGUAGACUGGAGGAGGCAGGUAGCAGACCACCUCCAGGUAGACUGGAGGAGGCAGGUAGCAGACCUCCUCCAGGUAGACUGGAGGAGGCAGGUAGCAGACCUCCUCCAGAUAGACUGGAGGAGGCAGGUAGCAGAACUCCUCCAGGUAGACUGGAGGAGGCAGGUAGCAGACCUCCUCCAGGUAGACUGGAGGAGGCAGGUAGCAGAUCUCCUCCAGGUAGACACUUUUAGACUGAUGCUACGCCAAGACCCAUAUUUGUGUGCGUGUGUGUGUGUGUGUCACUGUGUCCCGCGAGAGGCAUCAACGGCGCCAGCGAGGGAGAAGAGGACCUCGUGGUGGAGAAGACAUCCCGCGCAGUGUGAGAAGCCAUUGACCACCACAACUGCACUAAUCUCAUCACGAUACCUCAGUCCCCCCCACACCUCUUCCUCCCUUCUCACUAUUCCUCAUUCCCUUUCCUGCCUCCAUCCCUCUUUACCUUCCCUUUCUACAUCCCCUCCAUUCUCUAUCAAUCACCAUAUCUCCUCACCAAGUUAACAUAUCCUUGAAGCUUAACUCUAUAUAUUUCGUGUAUACAGAAUACAUAUAGUGGGGGAUUUGGUCCAAAGUGAGUAUAUGAGUGGGUGUAGAUGGAAGUAUAGUGGGUAUAUGAGUGGGUGUAGAUGGAAGUAUAGUGGGUAUAUGAGUGGUAGAUAAGAUUGUUGUGAACAUGGUUAGGACAGCAUUGCAUGUGAUAGAAUUGUAUUGAGUCUGCUCGGUAAGGCAACGGUUGUAUUCGGUAUACCAAGUGAGGCAGCAGUUGUAUUGGGUACAGCAGGCGAGGCAGCACUGGGCCCUGAGUGGUAGGGGGUACUGCGGGUCAGUAUGUACUGUGAGUGGGUGGACACGUAGAUGAAUAUUAUGCAGUAACGAAUGUGGGGUGUAUUGUAGUGGGUGUAUUGUAGUGGGUGUAGCUUGGACUAGUAGUCCUGCAGUGUUGAUAGAAAAGUGUAUAUAGCACAGUGGUGGCUGUGUGUGGCACAGUAGCGAGUGUGGGUGGCACAGUAGCGAGUGUGGGUGGCACAGUAGCGAGUGUGGGUGGCACAGUAGCGAGUGUGGGUGGCACAGUAGUGUGGGUGGGUGGCACAGUAGUGAGUGUGGGUGGCACAUUAGUGAGUGUGGGUGGCACAGUAGCGAGUGUGGGUGGCACAGUAGUGAAUGUGGGUGGCACAGUAGCGAGUGUGGGUGGCAUAGUAGUGAGUGUGGGUGGCACAGUAGCGAGUGUGGGUGACACAGUAGUGAGUGUGGGUGGAACAGUAGUGUGUGGCACAGUAGUGAGUGUGGGUGGCACAGUAGUGAGUGUGGGUGGCACAGUAGUGAGUGUGGGUGGCACAGUAGGAAGUGUGCGCGGCACAGUAGUGAGUGCGGGUGGCACAGUACGGGACACUACUGUUUGUACAGAUCCGGGACAUGUAAAUAGCCAGGGAAGCUGGCCCUCAUCCUCGUCUCCACUAGAACACAUGAUCCACACACUAGCUACACUCCUGCCACUAGUACGGUGCACACUAGCUACACUCCUGCCACUAGUACGGUGCCCACCUAUACUAGCCGUCCACUAGUACGGUGCCCACCUAUACUAGCCGUCCACUAGUACGGUGCUCACCUAUACUAGCCGUCCACUAGUACGGUGCCCACCUAUACUAGCCGUCCACUAGUACGGUGCCCACCUAUACUAGCCGUCCACUAGUACGGUGCUCACCUAUACUAGCCGUCCACUAGUACGGUGCCCACCUAUACUAGCCGUCCACUAGUACGGUGCCCACCUAUACUAGCCGUCCACUAGUACAUUCAACUACCACCCAGCCCACAGCCCUCGGUCAUCAACCAUCCCCACCGCCUCUUCCACUAAUUUAAGUUACCUUAAGUGUGUUGAAAAAAAAAACUAUUUUCGUGUUCUAUUAUUUUUCCAUAUUUUAUUUCAGCUUUUUAUGUUUCGUUUGAGAGCUGUUUUCUGGCCCAAAUACUAACAAAGUAGCUGGGUCGGGAAGUUAUGUUAUAGCGAGGGUGUGCUCUCUGGCUUGAGCUUCGGGCCGACUCCUCUUUAUAAUCUUAGAGUUAGUGGGUGUGGCUUAGCGCGCCUCACCCUCCUAGUUGUACACUAUCUGUAAGUGAAACGUCCAGUCAGGGAUUGUGUGAGGCCCGGGUCUCGGGCCCCUGGGUCCCGUGUCUCGGGCCCCUGGGUCCCGUGUCUCGGGCCCCUGGGUCCCGUGUCUCGGGCCCCUGGGUCCUGUGUCUCGGGCCCCUGGGUCCCGUGUCUCGGGCCCCUGGGUCCCGUGUCUCGGGCCUCUGAGGCCCGGUUCUCGGGCCCCGGGCCUCAGGCCCCUGGGCCCCGGGUCUCGGGCCUCUGGGUCCCGUGUCUCGGGCCCCUGCUCCCCGGGUCUUUGGGGCUCACAUGAAUAGCUUGGUGCCUCUUCAUGUGAGGCAAUAUGUUUCCUUGUGCUCACUGGUAUUCCAGUAUUCUCUUUAGAAUAUAAGUUAUUUGCAUACAACAGAUCUUCUGCUGAGUAACUGCAUCAUAUCAUCAUUAUUUCGCCCUAAUUUUCGUUUAACACAGCAAUUGGUAUUCAAUUGUUUGAAAGAAUUUUAUAAGUUUGAUGCUUUCCCGGUGUGGCAAAAAUAUUUCAUCAUAUCUUGGCCAUAUACACCCAAGAUAUAGCCGGAGCCAUAUCAUAUACUUCCAAAUGGAGCCAUAGUGUAUGGGAUAUUAGUGAUAAUUAAUUGCGGCCUGCAACCAGUAGCAGCCGGUCUGGUGAGGAGAACGCUGGCACACCUGGUGCAAUGUUCCUGCAACAUUGCACUACAGAACACACAAUAUCCGCACUUGGAAACUAUAUUUGGUAUUGCCCUUAGUUUUCCUUGUUAUAUUGGACAAUUAAAUGUAACUAAGUAAACGAGAAAACAUCUAACCUCACGGGAUAACUGUGAAUCCAAAUUUGAGGUCAUGAGAUUGAUAUGUGAUUGUAAUUAUAAUGCAAUUAAAUAUAUACAUGUCUCCGAGUUAGGGUGUAGAGCACCUACUUUUUUUUCUUCAUAUUUUUAAAUUGUGUAUGGAGGAAAACACUUAUAAUUAUUUCCCAUUUUUAAUUGUGCUCUUAUGUGUUGAUAUUAUAAUUAUAUUAUUGAGCAGUUUAAGGGUUAAACGUG